CUCUAGGGUGGAAGGCUGCGGGCGUCCUACCAGUGCCAGGACUGCCAGAGCGGGAGGAGCGCGGCGCGGGCCAGCCGGGACUGCUGGACAGCGGGGUCCAGGCUAGAGGCGAGCGAGCGGUCCACCUCCUAACAAAUUAUUGGAAGGAAUAUGAGAAAAAGACAAGUGUCACUAUGUUGCCCAGGCUGGAGUCAAACUCCUGGUCUCAAGCGAUCCUCCUGGCUCGGCCUCCCACAGUGCUGGGAUUACAGGU
rnacentral:lncRNA from 10 species